rnacentral:rRNA from 1 species
UGGGGAAUAUUGCACAAUGGGCGAAAGCCUGAUGCAGCGACGCCGCGUGAGGGAUGACGGCCUUCGGGUUGUAAACCUCUUUCAGUAGGGACGAAGCGCAAGUGACGGUACCUGCAGAAGAAGCACCGGCUAACUACGUGCCAGCAGCCGCGGUAAUACGUAGGGUGCGAGCGUUGUCCGGAAUUACUGGGCGUAAAGAGCUCGUAGGCGGUUUGUCACGUCGUCUGUGAAAUCCUAGGGCUUAACCCUGGACGUGCAGGCGAUACGGGCUGACUUGAGUACUACAGGGGAGACUGGAAUUUCUGGUGUAGCGGUGGAAUGCACAGAUAUCAGGAAGAACACCGAUGGCGAAGGCAGGUCUCUGGCUAGUAACUGACGCUGAGGAGCGAAAGCAUGGGUAGCGAACAGG